AAAUUUACAAAAAUAUUAACUUAUUUUCUAGUUUUUUCAUUUAUAAUUUUUAAAUAUUUUUUAAGCUCUUUAUUCUUAAAAAUAAAUUGAAUUAAAAAAGGCAGGGGUCCGAGUGAUGCCGGCUGACCAGGUAACAUGGACCCUGACCGCACCGGCCCGUUAUCCUUCCACUGUUGAGAGGGGGAGGUAGUCGCUGCUCUGUGAACCAGCCUCACGCUGUACCCUCCUUUGCAGGAAGCAACAUGCCCCGAGCCUUCGCUCGACGCACAUGCCUCACUCCCAACUUGGAAUGGGCGGGCUAGUAAACUGCGAUACAGAGCCCUACCCCGCAAGCCGAGUAGCCGUCCGCGCCCGCCUUAAUGCCCUCACAUGAGUUACAAGCUGGCGCAACCCAACUCGGCGAUGUAGAAGUUAGUUGAACGUGUCUUAUAAAGAGUUUUUGAUUGUUCUAUUUCAUCAAUGUGGGACGCCAACGCCUAACUAGAACCACGGGCCCUCGUCCAGCGCUUGACGCAAGACCGCAGCGCAUGACUACUGCUUCACUAUUUCUUACCACCUUCUGUUCUGUUUCAUUUAUAAACUUCUCUGAACCAUCACUACCUAUAUAGUUCAGCGUAAGAGAGCAUAGAUUUGUAAAUGAGUUCAUUGAAAGAUGGGCUUAGGAUUCAUGGGUGUGCCCUAGAUGCAGGUUUUACACCCACCCUUUUCAGUUGCAAUCAGCUGAUGGCAAACAUGGUCUCUUGUAUAAAGCCCGCAAGCUGUUUGAUGAAAUGCCUGCCCGAAAUGUUUUCACCUGGAAUGUCAUUAUCCGAGGUUUUGUUAGUAACCAAGAUUUCUCACAAGCGCAACUGAGUCCUCACCUUGUAAGGAUACGGUUAUAUCAUCGAUGCUGUCUGGUUAUGCAAGCACCUAUGGGGUUUGAAUUUCACGCAGUUAAGGUGUUUGUUGAGAUGCGGUGGAGGAGUGAUGGGGCUCCGUUUGUUGAGUUCACCCUUAGGACCGUGGUUGACUUGACAGCAAAGCCUGUGGAGCUGUCUUAGAGGAGUAUGGUGUGGUGCUGAGGAGUUGGUGUCACUGGCAGCUUCCAUCACAGUGAUUUUGGGAGAGUUGUUCAUGUGCGGAGACAGGAAACUACACCCAAACUUUAAGCAGCAAACAUGGAUUUUGUCGGACGGCCCCGACCUGUCCUCUCCUGAGUCUCCUCUCCUCUGCUCUGGAUCUGGUGCACUGCAACGUGCCGGUGCCGGACCUGUCCUCUCGUCUCCUCUGGUGCGCUGGCGCUGCUACUUGAUGUGCCUGCCGAUGCUGUGAGCCUGCGAACGAUCCACUCCACGCCUUGAGUAGCUCGAGUCGUCAUCUCCUAAGGCUCCACGGACCACAGCGACUGUUGUCGUCGUCGUCUCCCCCAGCUCCACAAACGG